AAGCCAAGAGGAAGGAUUAAUGGCYCCCGUGGCCGCGUCCUGCUGGCGGCUGUCCCGCCAGCCCUGCCCGCCUGGCGCUGCCCUUUGCCCGCGGCAGCCUCCACGUGGCCACGCAGGGCCGGAGUCCACCGACGGCCGAGCCAUGGACCGGUAAGGCCCUCGGCUCUUUCCCCCGCAGCCCCCCGCGCGCGCCAGGCCCGGCCGCCCCGGCGCUGUGGGCCGGCCGGGGGCAAGGCCGCAGCAGCGGCUCUGCGGGAUGCAGGCGCCGAAGCGGCCCUGCGGCAGCCUGGGGGCAGCUGCCUCACGGCCUGGUGCCCAGCCCCAGGCUCUGGGAACGGGGAGAUCCGAGAGGGAUCAAUCACUGGCAGUGCAGACUAGGCUCCUGGGGGGAAGCACUGCCCGUGGGCACACGCUGGCACCAGGGGGACAGCGGGUGCAGGCAGGUGGAGGGGUGCAGGCAGGCACAGUGGGUGCAGGCAGGCACUGCAAGCACAGGCAGGCACUGUGAGCGCAGGCAGGCACAGACAGGCCCUGAAGGCGCAGGUACUGCCGCUGUGGCUUCGCAGACCUCUGCUAAAACAAAUCCUGUGCGUCUCCACAGCUUCGCCAUCCUCGUGGGCACAGCUCUCCUCCUGCAAGUCCCUGGGGACACCCAGGCGCUGAGCAACACCAGAGGAAAUCAGCUGCCUACUGAUCUGGAUUUCAUCAAGGAAAUCAUCCUGGGCAUAAGAGCUGUUGAGCCUCCAGAAGAGAGUGAGAUAACUGUAGAUGCUGAACCAGGAAUAAAGGUCUUCAGCGAUGCACAAGCCUGGAGAGGCCCCUCYGGAGCCCAGGCCAUAGAAGGACCUGAGGAGGACCGCGAUCACCUCCACCAUCCCGAAGGCAAUGGAGUUGAACAUGCAGCACAUGUGCAGCGCCUGGCUCUGCCCCGCAAGGUGCAGAGCGGCCCAGAAGAAGACCGGGACCAUAUCCACCAUGGCCGAGAGGAGGAGAUGUGACUCCACCUGGGAUAAUAAAAGGGGGAUCUGAGCUGCCCCA
rnacentral:lncRNA from 1 species